rnacentral:rRNA from 1 species
AUUGAACGCUGGCGGCAGGCCUAACACAUGCAAGUCGAACGAGUGGCGGACGGGUGAGUAAUGUCUGGGAACCUGCCCGAUGGAGGGGGAUAACUACUGGAAACGGUAGCUAAUACCGCAUACCAUCGGAUGUACCCAGAUGGGAUUAGCUAGUAGGUGGGGUAACGGCUCACCUAGGCGACGAUCCCUAGCUGGUCUGAGAGGAUGACCAGCCACACGGGAACUGAGACACGGGCCAGACUCCUACGGGAGGCAGCAGUGGGGAAUAUUGCACAAUGGGCGCAAGCCUGAUGCAGCCAUGCCGCGUGUAUGAAGAAGGCCUUCGGGUUGUAAAGUACUUUCAGCGAGGAGGCGUUACUCGCAGAAGAAGCACCGGCUAACUCCGUGCCAGCAGCCGCGGUAAUAC